ensembl:lncRNA
UUUUUUAUUUAUUUUUUUUUAUUUCAGAAUAUUUGACUAUACAUAAGGUUUGCAUAGGGAACCCAGGCAGGAGCAGAAAAGAUAUAUCCCAGUUAAGGAUGAAUGGGAGGGUUUUCCUCCCCUUAAGAAUGCUGAAUAAACUGUGUAUUGUGUGCCUGUAUUUUGACUGCAGUUCAUCACAUUAGGUCAGGUGUGGGAUUUUCCACCUUUGGCAUCAAGUGGGCGCUCAAAUCUUUGGAUUCUGGAGAACUUCAGAUUUCAGAUUUUCAGAUUAGGAAUGCUCAACCUGUGCUAGCAACUGAUUUUUAACAUUUCCUUGGUUGGUAAUUUUUAUGGGAAGAAGAAAAUCUCAACAGAUGAAAUAAACAGUAACUAAAACUGGAUUUAUGCUAUUAUUUUUUUCAGCAAUAAGUAAAUGAAAUAAUUUUCUUUUUAAAACUGUCAAAAGUAAGACAUUUAAAACUAAAAGUGAAAUCUUUGGAGAGUUAGACUUUAUAGCUCCAUGUGAAUGCAAAUGCUUUACUAACAGUGGAAUUGGAAAUUGGAUAAGUUCCCUUGAGAUAGAAAUAGUCAAAAUGCCAAAGGAGAUUCCAAACUACUUGCUACAAAACAAAACAAAACAAAACAAAAAAACAGUCUUAGCUUUGCCUAUAAGUCGAUCUCUAGUUCUUCUCCAUGCAGGAGAUAUGUUGUAUGUGGUCUUCCAUCCCAAGGAGAAUAAUGGUUAGGUUUCUCAACUCUCAUAAAGAAUGUCAACAUCACCAUCUGCUCAUCUGGCUUUCAAAGGACGCAUAUGGGCUCAUCUUCUUGGCCCAGAUUCUCCUCUUGCUUUGGGGCUUUUCCCUUCAGUUUGGUCUUUAGUAUGUACUCCUAAAUUUGCCAAAUGCACAUUGGAGGCCACAGAAGACUUUGCUGAAGAAUAGCCCAGUAAUGGAUUGAAUUCUUAUUUAUUCAGAGGUUUCCCUGAAAAAAUUCCUCUGCAGCGUAUUCAAAUCGUAUAGCCCAAAUUAUACUCCCUGACUGUGGUAAUUUAAACGUCAUUUUAAAAUUAAGGCCUUUGUUAAUAAAUACUGUUUGCUUAAAGGUUAAAAGAUAGAAUUACACCCUUCACACCAAAUUGCAAUCUCCAUGGGUCCUUAUCUGCUCUUAUUAAUUCAAACAGAAGGUUCUGGGUGUCAUCUGUCACUUAGAGCCUGAAGUAAACCUCUAAAAGCAUACAUUUUUGUUGUUGUUUCCAUCCUACAUGGGCUUAAAGUAUGCUUUAGAAACAUACAUCACAACUGAGAUGUGGGUGGGAAUUAUGAAUAGUUAAGCAGCAGUGUAGAAAGCAAUAUGGACAGAAGAAACAAAAUAAUUUCUUAACAUAUAAAUAAAUUCAAAACCUAUUUGAAAUGCAGCAUAUUGGAAGAACAUUAGUCAGGGUCUCUAUAACUAAUUAGCUUUGCGACUUUGGGUAAGACAUAAUCUCUCUGGAUAUUUAUGUAAAGCUAGAAUUUUGUGUGAGAAAACUAAAGUUUAGAAGGACAGAAAGUAAUUACAAAGUAAAGACACUGAACACAAAUCUUGAAUUUUACCAUUAAUUGAAUGAUGGAAAAAAAUAAAGACUAUAUUAUUAACUUUUAUUUAAUUGUCUAUUUUCUCUAUAAAAUUUUCAAUCCAUGAUUUAGAGAUCAUGUUCAUCUUGAUCACCACUUUAUCUCUGGUGUCUAGCACAGUGCAGACAGACCAUUUAUUGUGAAGUAAAGACCAAAUGAGUUUUAAACAUAUUAUCUAAUACUAUAAUACUCUUAUGGUCUCAUUCUUCAGUUUUUUGCUAAUAUAACAGAUACAUUUGUAUCCUCUGUAAUAGAAAAAUAGGAAGGGAUGGUAUUGAUUGUAGUUGAAUAAUUAAGGGGAGAAAGUUAAGCCUCAAAUAAGAAAUUUCCUGAAAUUUCACCAAUGAGAAAAUGGUUAUAAAACCUUGCAUUUUACUGAAAAUAAAACUUUUUUUUAAUCAC